GCAAACAGAGGAGAAGAAGAAGAAGAAGAAGAAGAAGAAAGGGAGGGAGAAGAAGAGAGAGAGGAGGGAGGAAACCUUGACCGUUUUGAGUGAUUCAAAAGCCUAAAUCGCUUAGAAUCUCGCCCUCUUUCAUAAUCCAAGCUUAGUUCUGAGUGGGUAGCAUUGUGGAGAGGGAUAUUGCCCCUCAAAAAUUCGCCCAUUUGGUGAAAUUUGGGGUUUUGGGGGUUUCAACCUCCAUUGAAGCUUGAGGAGCCAUCAAUCCUUGGUUGUGCAACCAUUGGUGGAUUGAGGCAAGAGGACCAAGUGGAGUGACCAACCCUUGGGGUUGUGUGCAAUUGAGGAAAGCUCAAGAGCAAGGUACUGAUAGAGGUGAGGUUGAUCGAGGCAAGAAGCAUGAGUAGAUUGUACCUGAUAGCUGGACAUGUUGAGUUGCAUGCCAUUUAGCAUUGCUAUAUGUAUAUUUUGAUGCCACAUGAUGUAUUUUGGAGGACUUAGUGCAUGAUCAUUGUAGUAGUAAUGGGUAUCUGAUACAUGGUUACUUGCUUUGAUCAUGUUCCUUUUGUAGCUAAGUCCUUUGGCAUGUAUAUGAGAUUUGUAAUUAAGACAUGAUGUAAUAUUGUAAGUAAUGAAGAUAUUUGUGUAUGAUGAUUACUGUAAGUUAAAUGCAUGAAUGUAUUUUAUGUAUUGGACAUGUUGAGCUGGAAAGUCAAUUAGGUACCUUGUGCUAAGUU